UAAGGGCGCACGGUGGAUGCCUUGGCACUAGAAGCCGAUGAAGGACGUUACUAACGACGAUAUGCUUUGGGGAGCUGUAAGUAAGCUUUGAUCCAGAGAUUUCCGAAUGGGGAAACCCAGCAUGAGUUAUGUCAUGUUAUCGAUAUGUGAAUACAUAGCAUAUCAGAAGGCACACCCGGAGAACUGAAACAUCUUAGUACCCGGAGGAAGAGAAAGAAAAUUCGAUUCCCUUAGUAGCGGCGAGCGAAACGGGAAGAGCCCAAACCAACAAGCUUGCUUGUUGGGGUUGUAGGACACUCUAUACGGAGUUACAAAGGACGACAUUAGACGAAUCAUCUGGAAAGAUGAAUCAAAGAAGGUAAUAAUCCUGUAGUCGAAAAUGUUGUCUCUCUUGAGUGGAUCCUGAGUACGACGGAGCACGUGAAAUUCCGUCGGAAUCUGGGAGGACCAUCUCCUAAGGCUAAAUACUCUCUAGUGACCGAUAGUGAACCAGUACCGUGAGGGAAAGGUGAAAAGCACCCCGGAAGGGGAGUGAAAUAGAACCUGAAACCGUGUGCUUACAAGUAGUCAGAGCCCGUUAAUGGGUGAUGGCGUGCCUUUUGUAGAAUGAACCGGCGAGUUACGAUUUGAUGCAAGGUUAAGCAGUAAAUGUGGAGCCGUAGCGAAAGCGAGUCUGAAUAGGGCGUUUAGUAUUUGGUCGUAGACCCGAAACCAGGUGAUCUACCCUUGGUCAGGUUGAAGUUCAGGUAACACUGAAUGGAGGACCGAACCGACUUACGUUGAAAAGUG
rnacentral:rRNA from 1 species